UGACUUUGGUUAAAGUCAAACUGCUUCAAGUUUGAUCAGUUUGCAGAAAAAAGAAGUAACAUUAACCAAGACAAAUUUAUUAAGAAAACAUAUUCAAUUAUUGAUUUGAUGAAACUAAUUUGGUUUUGUAAAUAUUACUAUAUUUAUCUAUAAAUUUAAUCAAACUUAAAAUAGUUUGACUUUGACCAAAAUCAA
rnacentral:pre_miRNA from 1 species